UACGUAGGGAGCAAGCGUUGUCCGGAAUCAUUGGGCGUAAAGCGCGCGUAGGUGGCCCCGUAAGUCCGCUGUGAAAGUCAAAGGCUCAACCUUUGAAAGCCGGUGGAUACUGUGGGGCUAGAGUACGGAAGAGGCGAGUGGAAUUCCUGGUGUAGCGGUGGAAUGCGCAGAUAUCAGGAGGAACACCAAUGGCGAAGGCAGCACUCUGGGACGUGACUGACGCUGAGACGCGAAAGCGUGGGGAGCAAACAGG
rnacentral:rRNA from 1 species